rnacentral:misc_RNA from 1 species
GAUGAAGAACGUAGCGAAAUGCGAUACUUGGUGUGAAUUGCAGAAUCCCGUGAACCAUCGAGACUUUGAACGCAAGUUGCGCCCGAAGCCAUCAGGUUGAGGGCACGUCUGCCUGGGCGUCACAUAUCGUUGCCCAAUGCCUAUUGCAGUGCAAUAGGAAUUUCUAGGGCGAAUGAUGGCUUCCCGUGAGCGUUGUUGCCUCGCGGUUGGUUGAAAAUCGAGUCCUUGGUAGGGUGUGCCAUGGUAGAUGGUGGUCGAGUUAGAACGAUACCGAUCAUGUGCAUGCUCCCCAAAAUAUGGCCUCUAUGACCCACACGCGUCUUUUGACGCUCAUGACGAGACCUCAGGUCAGGCGGGGCUACCCGCUGAAUUUAAGCAUAUCAAUAAGCGGAGGA